rnacentral:rRNA from 1 species
GUAGGUGGCAAGCGUUGUCCGGGAAUUAUUGGGGCGUAAAGCGCGCGCAGGCGGUUCUUUAAGUCUGAUGUGAAAGCCCACGGGCUCAACCGUGGAGGGUCAUUGGAAACUGGAGAACUUGAGUACAGAAGAGGAAAGCGGAACUCCACGUGUAGCGGUGAAAUGCGUAGAGAUGUGGAGGAACACCAGUGGCGAAGGCGGCUUUCUGGUCUGUAACUGACGCUGAGGCGCGAAAGCGUGGGGAGCAAACAGGAUUAGAUACCCUGGUAGUCCACGCCGUAAACGAUGAGUGCUAAGUGUUAGGGGGUUUCCGCCCCUUAGUGCUGCAGCUGACGCAUUAAGCACUCCGCCUGGGGAGUACGGCCGCAAAGGCUG